GCAUGUCAAUGCUGUUUAUGGCAAUCUUUGUCUAAACUGGCUUGUUUGGAAAUAUGUUGUAAGUGUUUCGUUUCACACUUAUGGGUUAAAAUGGAUUACUGAGGACUAAUUUCACUACCAUAUCGACUGUUUAAUGGAUAACGCGGGUCGUCUGCCAUCAAACUUUCAUUUCGAAAUGGCUAAUUAUGGAUCAGACCUGGCGCCAAAGAUCGGGGCAGUAGCUGGACGGGCCAUCUGUCCCAGAAGUUUUAAUUACGAGAACAAACGAAUGCUCAAUGUCCAUUUUCGUCUGCCUUGCCAUUGUUGGGUUGUUUUCAACAAACAUCUCGCAGAGCCUGAAGGAGAGACUGCUUGCGGAAACAAACACUUUAGGAUUUGGCGUUCCUCCCAAUUGUCUCAUUGAGAAAUACUCACCCCAACAGUUUGAUUAUUAAAUAUGUGAUUUUUGUGUCGGAGCUGGGAGACUGUACUUACUUUAUUGACUUAGCUUUGUACAAAUAUCAUCAGAAACGUGGGGAAAUAAAAGCGAGGGUAACCCAACAUUUAAAGCAAAGGGCACAUGUCAUUUGCCAAGGAAACGGCUUGGUCUUUGGCAGAUCCAAAAUCAAAAGGGGAAAAAGUUAUAAAAAAAUCCUUAAAAGAGCAGGAAGUCCGAAUUCUUUGCAAGGUGUGACAUUCAAUUCUACUGAUGGCGAAAAUAACAUCUUCUCAGAGCUUCCAUGGAUUUCUUUUUCAAAAAAAAAGAUGCGUCAUGUAUCCCAUAUUUUUUUCAACGUGAACUUUGAUGGGCACUUGGUAGGAAUGGAAAUAUCGGACUUCAUUUUCUUUCUUGAGAAAGGCUGACCAGUGACCCUUCACAGAAAGCCUGUUCAGACACGAUUUAUCAGUCGGUAGACGGCUAGUGAUAUCCAGGUAUCAUAGAUUACGAUUCAUGAACCGGAUAAAAAGUCGCCAACAUCGUCACAAUAUCUGUCAAUGAAGAGGGAUCAAGUCGGAUGGAAAGGGAAGGGAACACGACUUGAGAAGAAAGUGCAACAUCUCGAGCACAAUAAAGCAAGUGGUGAUUUAUCUCAACAUAGUACUAUGUCGAAGUGUUGUUAUUGACACUAUUGAGGGAUAUUAUGACACCUGACUCUUCUAUUUCAACCAACGUCCGGGCGGUUUGCUCAAUGACCUCUGGUCAGGAAUUACUGGAAUUGUAUGAUAUAUAGACAAGAACAGGUAUUACACUUUAAUUUCACGAUAUGAUAUUCUAAUAGGUAUAAUGAAGUUCCAGCUGAUCGGGUAAAUUAUUGGUGAUCACUUUCUGCAUGCUAUUUAAGGCUAGUUUUUUAUGCUCACAAUCGUUUAUUUAACUCUACAUAUGCAUAAUUUAUAAGGACACAUAUUGAUGUUAACUAUUAGAAGAUAACUAUUGUUACCGUUGAUAAAAAAUGUUUCUACAAAAAGCAAUAAUUGUUUGAGUGAGUGCCCAUUUACGUAUGUUUUUAUUUUUUGUAUGCCAAUUGUAUUUUUGUGUGUUUUUAUCCCAUGAAAAUCAAAAGUCAGAGUAUGAAAUUAUCGAUGAAGUAAUAUACAUGUGGUUUUGGCUCAGUAAGAUAGAUAAAUAUAAAUACGAUGUGUAAGUAUUGCGACCAGGUUGAAGAACAAAGUUAAACGUUAAGGUUAUAAAAAUAUCUUAUUGUCAGUAGGCAUUGUUUCUUUUACUAGCAUAAAAUAAAAUCAUGUCAUUUGAAUUUAUUCGCUAAACUGUCAUUAAAAAGUUUUUUCUGUUGAAUUCGGACAUCGUCUUUGGACAACAUUCACAGAAUGGUUUUUAACCAGUACAAUAAAUGAUUUCUAUUAACACAUAUUAAUACUGCUGGACUUUCACAUGUAUAAGUCCUUUUAAAUGGUCUUUAAAAGAGUAAAUCUUUACCGAGAGUCUUUCACUAUAUAUAGGUCUUAUAUUUAUGAACAGUCUUUCAUUAAUAUUUUUUUUACAGUUGAGAUUUCAAAAAUCUAAUAUCGUAUGGUUGGACUGCAUGAUAUUAGUAUGAAUUCUUCUCGUUCGACGUUCACAAUAUUAUUAUUUUGUUGCCGGAAUUGAACUAAUAUGGUUUUUGCUUAUAUGCUUUCAUUUAUAUAAAUGUGUAUUCCUGGACUUUCACAAGACAACAUUCUUGCCAUUAAGCUUUCAUUGAUAUAAGGAUUUAUCCAUUAUGCAUCAGACUUUCAAUUGCAGGAGUCUUUAUCGUUGUUAUUUCACUAGGAGCUACUUAUUUUAUUUGUUGUAAGUUGUUUUCGUUAGACUCAGUAUUAUAUGCUGCUUGAUGUGUUAUUUGAAUGUAUAGUCCAACGAAAAUUCAUUCUCAUUCAUUAAAGAUUUUAAUUUUUUUUUUUUAUUUUUAUCUUAAGGCCGUAAGUGCAAGUUUUGAUUUGAAAUGAAAGUAUAGAAAUAUUCGGUUAUUCAUUUUGUAUAUUUGAACUGACAGUACUGAACUUUGAACUCUUUGAAGUUUGAUGCUCCACGUUCAUACAAACAUGUUUGUUGUUUGUUGAUUUCGAGGAUGAUAUCCCCCAAUUACACUGUAACUAUAAUUUCAACCUCUGCCUGUAAAGUAUGAUGAAUGUUGUUCAUAUAGGAUCGCCGAUGUGUAUUUUAUAUAUAUAAUUGAUAAAAGUACGUUGUUUGCCUCUCAGAACCCACUAUGCAUCCUCAUAUGAUCCGUUAAAACACUGAAAAUAGUACUUCUGGCAAUAGUUACAGGUUUGAUGUGGAUCUUUGUUUAUUAAAAUGCUAAUUGUUAAAUUUUGUUCAAAAUCUAAUUACAUGUAUUUUCAAAAUGUUCAAUGCUAUUCUGUUUGAUAACAAUUUUUGAUAACAAUUAUAUUUCUUAUAAUUCAAUGACGAAUAUAAUUGUCUCAUUGUUGUAUUUCAUUUUCGCUUAAUAAUUGUUUUUCAACUAAUCGAAGUGUUACUGUCAAGCGAUACUGAAAACUGAAAAUAUCACUGAAAGAAUAGUAUGUUAUUUUAUUUAUGUAAAGUGCAACUACUCAAGAGAGUAAGUUUUUGAUAAAUAAAGCCGUUUCAGGGAAAUGUUGAAAAGAACUCCUUUAGAAUGGAAAAAUAAUAAUAAUAACUCCUUGAAUACAUAUUCUAAGAAUUUGGAAUAGUUUCAGACGCCGCGGCAGCCGCGGCAAACUCCUGAAAUAUGGUCAUUAUGAUUUGUAAGAAAAAGAAAGUCAAAAUAUAUUCAAAAUAUGCUCGAUAUAAAUAUAUAUUAUAUUGUAAAAGAAAUUGUCCGUGCCAUUGUUGUAUAAAUAAUGACAUCAACGUGCUUUAUAAUGCUCAUUAGCAAUGCUGAAAUUCAAAUCUCAACGUUUAUGAUACCACAAACAGAUAAUUUUGUCAUUUUUUAAAUACAGCACGUCUAAUACAUUUUUGUAAUCUAAUUUUGUUGUUAAUUUCCUAUUGUUUGCAUGAUCUUUCUCAUUAUAAAACAGUAACAAUUGAUUACUGAAUUAAAAAAACUAAUGCAAAAUUGUAAAGAAAAGAUAUCCACUAAUAUAAAGAGAAUGAUACAUUUCUGUAAAUAGGGUAGAUCUGAGAAAACGUCUUUCCGGAAAAAAA